rnacentral:rRNA from 1 species
AUUGAACGCUGGCGGCAGGCUUAACACAUGCAAGUCGAGCGGGGUGAUGGUGCUUGCACUAUCACUUAGCGGCGGACGGGUGAGUAAUGCUUAGGAAUCUGCCCAUUAGUGGGAGACAACAUCUCGAAAGGGAUGCUAAUACCGCAUACGUCCUACGGGAGAAAGCAGGGGAUCACUUGUGACCUUGCGCUAAUAGAUGAGCCUAAGUCGGAUUAGCUAGUUGGUGGGGUAACGGCUCACCAAGGCUAUGACGGCUAGCCGGCUUGAGAGAGGUGAACGGGCACACUGGAACUGAGGCACGGUCCGGACUCCUACGGGAGGCAGCAGUAGGGAAUCUUCCGCAAGGGGCGAAAGCCUGACGGAGCAAUGCCGCGUGGGUGAUGAAGGCCUGCGGGUCGUAAAGCUCUGUUGAGGGGGAAGAAAGGUAGUUCGGUUAAUACCCGAAUUGCCCUGACGGUACUCCUCGAGGAAGCCCCGGCUAAUUACGUGCCAGCAGCCGCCGUAA